rnacentral:rRNA from 1 species
GUGUCAGCAGCCGCGGUAAUACGUAGGGACCGAGCGUUGUCCGGAAUCAUUGGGCGUAAAGAGCGUGUAGGCGGCCCUUUAAGUCCUGCGUGAAAUCCUGCGGCUCAACCGCAGACGGUCGUGGGAAACUGGAGGGCUAGAGUGCGGGAGAGGAGAGUGGAAUUCCCAGUGUAGCGGUGAAAUGCGCAGAUAUUGGGAAGAACACCCGUGGCGAAGGCGGCUCUCUGGAACGCAACUGACGCUGAGACGCGAAAGCGUGGGGAGCAAACAGGAUUAGAUACCCUGGUAGUCCACGCCGUAAACGAUGGACGCUAGGUGUGGGCGGUGUCGACUCCGUCCGUGCCGAAGCUAACGCAUUAAGCGUCCCGCCUGGGGAGUACGGCCGCAAGGCUAAA